AGCAAGUCUCUCCCAGCAGGUAGGGAGCUGAAGGAGAAGUGCCCCUCCUCCAGCCAGGCAGCUCUGUGCUUGGAGUCCUGAGCCCCUAGAUGGGGCUCAUUAAGCAACUGAGAGGCCUUGCUAUUGUGCAUCUUAGAGGGAACCUUGGUGGCAGGUGUAAGGGCUGAGGACUGCUGAUAUCCCCGGAAAGAGGAGAGAAUGGCGUGGUCAGCACUGCUGACGGGCAGUGUCCAAAAGAGGACGCUACAGUUCAGGAAACAGUUUGGGUCCACAGCAAGACGGUGGAGCAACAUGACGACAAGAGAGCAGCCAGAAGGUAGCUCUCUUCCUUGGAGUGUGCCAAUUCCUGGUGUGACCAGUAGGAGGUGCUGCAAUGGCAACUUCCCCAUUGCACUGGAUUUAGCAAUGUCUGGUUAACAAUGCAAGGUGAAUCACAGUGGCUCAACCGGCUGAGGAGGACUGCAAUUUGAUUCCCAGCCAGAGAUUUGAAGGAGAGACACCACAAUCAUUGUAAGAAGUCUCCAAGGAACGAGCCUUCCCCCUUCCGGAGCAGCGGCAGGUGAGGAGUGGUGACCAGUGGCAUGGCAUAGAGCGGCAGCAGGCGCAGAGCGGCAGCAGGUGAGGAGCAGUGACCAGCAGCAUGGUGCAGAGCGGCGGCAGGUGAGGAGCAGUGACCAGCGGCGUGGCACGGCUGGUAGGAGCAGCAGCAGGCGAGGAGCAGCGGCAGGUGACCAGCGGUGCGGUGCGGCUGGUAGGAGCGGCGGCAGGCGACCAGCGGAGCAUCUGGUGGAGUGGAAUGAGACAGCUGGUGGAGC